rnacentral:rRNA from 1 species
GCACAACGCGAAGAACCUUACCCACCUUUGACAUGGCAGGAACUUACCAGAGAUGGUUUGGUGCUCGAAAGAGAACCUGCACACAGGUGCUGCAUGGCUGUCGUCAGCUCGUGUCGUGAGAUGUUGGGUUAAGUCCCGCAACGAGCGCAACCCUUGCCAUUAGUUGCUACAUUCAGUUGAGCACUCUAAUGGGACUGCCGGUGACAAACCGGAGGAAGGUGGGGAUGACGUCAAGUCCUCAUGGCCCUUAUAGGUGGGGCUACACACGUCAUACAAUGGCUGGUACAAAGGGUUGCCAACCCGCGAGGGGGAGCUAAUCCCAUAAAGCCAGUCGUAGUCCGGAUCGCAGUCUGCAACUCGACUGCGUGAAGUCGGAAUCGCUAGUAAUCGUGGAUCAGAAUGUCACGGUGAAUACGUUCCCGGGUC